GCGACGGGGGAAAAUUGUGCAACGCUGGACCUGGGAGGAUUUGGGGAGCGUGUUGUGGAGCAUGUGGUGGGGGGGAUUUAUUUGGAAGGCCGUGUUUUGACUCCAGGAACCUAGGCUGUACUAGAGGCUCACAGAGGACAGGAGCAGAAGGCUGAGUAUAUAAGAGCAAGCUGACCGACAGCACUUCUCUGCUCCGUGCUGUUAAAGAGAUUGCUGUUGGACCCUGAGACUUGGACCAUUUCAUUGUGGUCAUUUAUUUGUCACCAUUGCUGUUUUUCGUGUCCAAGUAGUAUAGCUGUUGGAUCCUUUAUCUCUGUAUUUAUGCAGCAUGAUUUAAUGUUUUCCAGCUUUUUUUACCUUUUCGUUGUUUGCUUCUUUCUUGGCACUUUAAACGGUGAUGUUAGUGCCUGAUUUUUGGAUGGGACUAAUCUCAAUGCCUGGACUGCCAGUGAGGUGUAAGGAUGAAGUUUGGGGAUUCAUAGCUGCCGCUUCUGCAUGUGGGUGUGUGAUUACGUGAGUCUAGAGUGUGAUCUUCCGUCCGUCUGUUUGUCUGCUGUGGCCGACGCGGUUCCCUUCUCGUUCCGUUUGCAGGGCUACAAAAUGACGGGAUUUCAGAGAUUGUCCGUGCUCUUGUGUCAGGGAACAGGCUGUUAUCAACAGAUCUGUCUGCUCUCUGUUUCUGUGGGGAACCUGUGGUUUAACAGACACAGACCCGUUCACUUCAGGGCAGAAGUCAGGGGUCUUGGCGUGCUGGAAAAGUGGCAGUCUUCGGAGAUGUGUUUGCUCCAAGUCUUGUCUGAGUGCGGUGAGAUGUUACUUUCUGCCUCCGGUUCCUUUUCGACUGAACACGAUAUGAUGAUAAAGAAUCUGGUCGAAGUAGAAGCUCUGGAGAGUGACGAGAAGCCAAUGCGGCCACUCUGAGGAGUGACCUGGGAAGAAGCGUCAUCCAAACGCAGGUGGGGAGCAGGGGUACGAGGAGAGAUAUCCGCAUGCUUUGACAGAGGUGGUACAGGUGGGAUUCAUAUAUCACAGGACUUUUUCUUCCCGAUAUUUAUCUGUUUCAGUGCAAUCUUUGAUCUGAUGCUGCUUUGAUCUGAUGUUUACAAGUGACCAGUCUGUCUGAAGGGGACGACUUCCAGUGUUUUAGCCAGUAAUGUCUCCUGCUCUCUCUCUGGGGAACAGCCAGUGGUGUCGGUGUGACGUCUCAAACCGGAUCAUGACUCCCGAAGCUCUAAAGUUCAGCUUUGAGUCCAGGGCAAACUGUCCCAGACACAAACACUCAGCCUGGAGAGAGGGCGUGAGGCUGGGGCAACCUGUGUGGCUUCAACUAUGUUCAGUCCAUCCCCCCCCCCUCCACCCCCCCGGCCAUAAACUGCCUUCUGCCCAGAACAGUAAGAGUUUAUGUGCUGGUUAUACACUGUGCCAGCACACGGGCUCUUACAGUGCAGGGCAGUGGGUCUGUCUUUCUCUCAGGAGCUGAAGAAGAUUAUUAUAGCUGACGUAUGGUCUCUGUAUGGUCUCUCUGCCUCUAUCUGGCCUUCACUGCGGUUUCUCUCCCUCUGUCUGGGGCCCUGUGUGGUCUCUCUGCCUCCGCCUGGCCCCGUGUAGGGUCUCUCUGCUUUUAUCGGAGUCUCAGUGCAGUCUCUCUGCCUCUGUCUGCCCCCUGUGUGGUUUCUAUACUUCAGUGUGGUCUCUCUGCCUGUGUCUUGGCCCCUGUAUGGUCUCUCUGCCUCUGUCUGGGCCCAUGUGGUCUUUCUACCUCGGUCUGGGCAGUCUAUCCAUCUUUAUCUACACCUCUGUGGUCUCUUCAUCUAUAUCUGUGCCUAUGUAUGUUCCCUCAUUUCAGCGGUCAUGAGUUCAGGACCCAGCUAGGUAAAAGAUUUCUUAAUUAAAAACAUUCUUCUUCCA